UGGAGGGGGAUAACUACUGGAAACGGUAGCUAAUACCGCAUAACGUCGCAAGACCAAAGAGGGGGACCUUCGGGCCUCUUGCCAUCGGAUGUGCCCAGAUGGGAUUAGCUUGUAGGUGAGGUAACGGCUCACCUAGGCGACGAUCCCUAGCUGGUCUGAGAGGAUGACCAGCCACACUGGAACUGAGACACGGUCCAGACUCCUACGGGAGGCAGCAGUGGGGAAUAUUGCACAAUGGGCGCAAGCCUGAUGCAGCCAUGCCGCGUGUAUGAAGAAGGCCUUCGGGUUGUAAAGUACUUUCAGCGGGGAGGAAGGGAGUGAGGUUAAUAACCUCAUUCAUUGACGUUACCCGCAGAAGAAGCACCGGCUAACUCCGUGCCAGCAGCCGCGGUAAUACGGAGGGUGCGAGCGUUAAUCGGAAUUACUGGGCGUAAAGCGCACGCAGGCGGUCUGUCAAGUCGGAUGUGAAAUCCCCGGGCUCAACCUGGGAACUGCAUUCGAAACUGGCAGGCUGGAGUCUUGUAGAGGGGGGUAGAAUUCCAGGUGUAGCGGUGAAAUGCGUAGAGAUCUGGAGGAAUACCGGUGGCGAAGGCGGCCCCCUGGACAAAGACUGACGCUCAGGUGCGAAAGCGUGGGGAGCAAACAGGAUUAGAUACCCUGGUAGUCCACGCUGUAAACGAUGUCGACUUGGAGGUUGUUCCCUUGAGGAGUGGCUUCCGGAG
rnacentral:rRNA from 1 species